CACUUAUAGCUAUAAUUAUAAGCACGACCUGCUCAAUGAAAAAUUAAAUAGCCGCAGUUUCCUGUGCUAAGGUAGCAUAAUCAUUUGUCUCCUAAUUAGAGACCAGUAUGAAAGGUUACACAUACAACACUUGCCUCAAAUUAAACCUAUUAAUCUAUUCUAAAUAUUAAAAAAUAUUUAUAAAAUAAAAAGACGACAAGACCCUAUCAAACUUAGACUAAAGUUCAGCUGGGGCAGCUAUAGAAAAAAAAUUUCUACCUAAAACUAUUUCAUCACUAUCAGACCUGCUUCAAGCAAUAACCGGAUUAAGUUACUGUAGGGAUAACAGCGUAAUAAUCUUCAAAAGCUCAUAUUAAAAAGAAAGAUUACGACCUCGAUGUUGAAUUAAUUUUAUCUACUAGACGCAACCGUCCAGUAAGUAGGUCUGUUCGACCUUUAAAAAAUUACG
rnacentral:rRNA from 1 species